rnacentral:lncRNA from 1 species
UGGGUCGAAGGUGAUGGGCUGACAGCGGCAUUUCUGGGCUUGCAGCACAGCCGUUUAUUGCCCACCAACAAAUGCCUAUGACUGCGCCGUAUACAGUCCUGUAACAUCAGGAAAACGAUACUGGGUCCUCAAUCUGCCAAGAUCUUCUGGUUUUCAUCAUGACUAUGUGUCCUAUUAUAUACAUAGUAAAGGACAUCACAGGCUCUAUGGGGAUUGCCUUGGCGGCUAUUGUUUGCACAGUCAAUAAAGUAAGCAUACGAGAAUCACGAGCAAUUAUGUUCGCAUAGUGAGACAUCGAAUUGCAUAGGCUUUACAGACCUUGUCAGCAAGCAAGCUGCAUCCAUUCCGUCGAGAGCUGCACAAGCCUCGCUGCAGCAAAGCUCGCCUCUCGGAAUGCAAUAUAGUCUGAAUGUGAUCGCUCGUUAACAUCUGAUCAGUGUUUCCGCGACAGGUCCCUUUUGCCACCUAGACUCUUGACACUUGACAUUACUAUGAAGUUCGUAUCCGACUGUCAGGGCCAUUUGGGAGACGAUAAGCGCAAAGAACAUUCGACAUUUGUACCAGUAGCAAUUGCAAUUCAAGGCAGAUU